rnacentral:rRNA from 1 species
CCCAGUGACCCAAUUCAACGGCCGCGGUACCCUAACCGCGCGAAGGUAGCAUAAUCACUUGUUCUCUAAAUAGGGACUUGUAUCAACGGCAUCACGAGAGCUAUACUGUCUCCUUUAUCUAAUCUGUGAAACUAAUCCCCCCGUGAAGAAGCGGGGAUAUAACUAUAAGACGAGAAGACCCCAUGGAGCUUUAAACUUAGCCCCACUCCUGCCCCCCCCC